rnacentral:tRNA from 1 species
GGCUGUAGCUCAGUGGUAGAGCACUUGCCUAGCACGUGUGAGGCACUGGGUUUGAUUCUCAGCACCA